rnacentral:rRNA from 1 species
AGCGAACGCUGGCGGCAGGCCUAACACAUGCAAGUCGAACGAAGUCUUCGGACUUAGUGGCGGACGGGUGAGUAACACGUGGGAACGUACCUUUUGAUUCGGAACAACUCAGGGAAACUUGAGCUAAUACCGGAUGAGCCCUUAGGGGGAAAGAUUUAUCGCCGAAAGAGCGGCCCGCGUUAGAUUAGCUAGUUGGUGAGGUAAAGGCUCACCAAGGCUACGAUCUAUAGCUGGUCUGAGAGGAUGAUCAGCCACACUGGGACUGAGACACGGCCCAGACUCCUACGGGAGGCAGCAGUGGGGAAUCUUGCGCAAUGGGCGAAAGCCUGACGCAGCCAUGCCGCGUGAAUGAUGAAGGUCUUAGGAUUGUAAAAUUCUUUUACCAGGGACGAUAAUGACGGUACCUGGAGGAAAAGCCCCGGCUAACUUCGUGCCAGCAGCCGCCGUAAUAC